GCCUGUGUAGCUCAGGGGUAGAGCACUUCCUUGGUAAGGAAGAGGUCGCGGGUUCAAAUCCCGCCACCGGCUCCA
rnacentral:tRNA from 3 species